UAAGAUGAGAGUUUGAUCCUGGCUCAGGACGAACGCUGGCGGCGUGCCUAAUACAUGCAAGUCGAACGCGUCUUGGUCAAUGAUUUUAGGUGCUUGCACUUGGAUGAUUUGACAUUGAGACGAGUGGCGAACUGGUGAGUAACACGUGGGUAACCUGCCCUUGAAGUAGAGGAUAACACUUGGAAACAGGUGCUAAUACUGCAUAACAACGAAAACCGCCUGGUUUUCGUUUGAAAGAUGGCUUCGGCUAUCGCUUUAGGAUGGACCCGCGGCGUAUUAGCUAGUUGGUGAGGUAACGGCUCACCAAGGCAAUGAUACGUAGCCGACCUGAGAGGGUAAUCGGCCACAUUGGGACUGAGACACGGCCCAAACUCCUACGGGAGGCAGCAGUAGGGAAUCUUCCACAAUGGACGAAAGUCUGAUGGAGCA
rnacentral:rRNA from 1 species